rnacentral:rRNA from 2 species
UGCAGUCGACGCGUUGGCCCAAUUGAUUGAUGGUGCUUGCACCUGAUUGAUUUUGGUCGCCAACGAGUGGCGGACGGGUGAGUAACACGUAGGUAACCUGCCCAGAAGCGGGGGACAACAUUUGGAAACAGAUGCUAAUACCGCAUAACAACGUUGUUCGCAUGAACAACGCUUAAAAGAUGGCUUCUCGCUAUCACUUCUGGAUGGACCUGCGGUGCAUUAGCUUGUUGGUGGGGUAACGGCCUACCAAGGCGAUGAUGCAUAGCCGAGUUGAGAGACUGAUCGGCCACAAUGGGACUGAGACACGGCCCAUACUCCUACGGGAGGCAGCAGUAGGGAAUCUUCCACAAUGGGCGCAAGCCUGAUGGAGCAACACCGCGUGAGUGAAGAAGGGUUUCGGCUCGUAAAGCUCUGUUGUUAAAGAAGAACACGUAUGAGAGUAACUGUUCAUACGUUGACGGUAUUUAACCAGAAAGUCACGGCUAACUACGUGCCAGCAGCCGCGGUAAUACGUAGGUGGCAAGCGUUAUCCGGAUUUAUUGGGCGUAAAGAGAGUGCAGGCGGUUUUCUAAGUCUGAUGUGAAAGCCUUCGGCUUAACCGGAGAAGUGCAUC